UACGGGGGGGGGGCAAGCGUUUGUUCGGAAUUACUGGGCGUAAAGAGCGUGUAGGCGGCCCUGGUAGGUCAGCUGUGAAAACUCGAGGCUCAACCUCGAGACGCCGGUUGAAACCAUCAGGCUAGAGUCCGGAAGAGGAGAGUGGAAUUCCCCGGUGUAGCGGUGAAAUGCGCAGAUAUCGGGGAAGAACACCCCGUGGCUAAGGCGGCUUUCUAGUACGGUACUGACGCUGAGGAGCGAAAAGCGUGGGUAGCAAACAGG
rnacentral:rRNA from 1 species